AUGGCCGGGCCCGCUGACCCGCGGCGGCUGUGCCGGCUGGUGCAGGACGGCCGGCUGUGCACCCUGCGCAGGGAGCUGCGGGCGGCGGGGCACGCGGGCUGCGCGGGGCCGGCCGGGGACACCCUCCUGCACUGCGCCGCCCGCCACGGCCGCCGGGACGUCUUGGCCUAUCUGGUUGAGACCUGGGACCUGGACAUCGAAGCCGCCAACCGGGACUACAAGCGGCCUCUGCACGAGGCUGCCUCCAUGGGGCAUCGGGACUGCGUGCGGUACCUGCUGGGCCGGGGGGCCGCGGUCGACUGCCUGAAGAAGGCCGACUGGACUCCUUUGAUGAUGGCCUGCACGAGGAGAAACCUCGAGGUGAUCCGGGAUCUCGUGGAGCACGGCGCCAAUCCACUCCUGAAGAACAAAGACGGCUGGAACAGUUUUCACAUCGCCAGCCGCGAGGGCGACCCUCUGAUCCUCCAGUACCUGCUUGCAGUUUGCCCCUCUGUCUGGAGGACAGACAGCAAGAUCGGGAGGACCCCGCUGCACACGGCAGCAAUGCAUGGCUGUUUAGAGGCAGUAGAGGUGCUUCUUCAGAGGUGCCAGUACGAACCGGACUGCAGAGACAGGUGUGGCCUCACGCCCUUCAUGGAUGCCGUUCAGUGUGGCCACACGGACGUGGCCAGGCUGCUCCUCAAAAAGCACAAGGCUUGCGUGUCUGCUGAGGACUCACUGGGGGCCCAGGCCAUCCACCGGGCAGCAGUCACUGGGCAGGAUGAAGCCAUCCGAUUCCUGGUCUCGGAGCUUGGCGUCGACAUUGAUGCAAGAGCAGGAUCUACCCAUCUCACGGCACUUCACUUCGCAGCUAAGGAAGGUCACGUGAGCACAGUCCAGAUGCUCUUAUCCUUGGGUGCUGACAUCAACUCCAAGGACGAAAGAAAUCGAUCAGAACUUCCCAUGGGAUCCCUGCCACCGAGGGCUGCUGGGGGCUGCCAGGUCCUAGGAAAUGGGCAUGACUAAACAAGCGAAUGUGUCAAGACAACAUGGCAUUGCAAAACCCUCUGGUCACUGUGUCAUUUACAGUUAAAUAUAAGAAGUUGCAGAACAGACAAUAACAUUUGUCUUGUUGGAGGUUUAUAGCAACGUUGUGACCAAGACCUUACAUGGACAGCUGCAAGAACAAAGGAUUCUGCCACCAAGAUGUUAGCAACAACCAGUCACAGCAACUCCCCUGCCCUUUUUAGUAUAAAAGGAGCCCUGUGAUUGCAGCCAUGAAAUUAAAAGAAGCUUGCUCCUUGGCAGAAAAGUUAUGACCAACCUAGACAGCAUAUUAAAAAGCAGAGACAUUACUUUGCCAACAAAGGUUGGUCUAGUCAAGGAAAUGGCAACCCACUCCAGUACUCUUGCCUGGAGAAUCCCAGGGACAGGGGAGCCUAGUGGGCUGCCGUCUAUGGGGUCGCACAGAGUCGGACAUGACUGAAGCGACUUAGCAGCAGCAGCAGUAGUCAAGGCUAUGGUUUUUCCAGUAGUUGUGUAUGGAUGUGAGAGUUGGACUAUAAAGAGAGCUGACUGCUGAAUAAUUGAUGCGUUUGAACUGUGGUGUUGAAGACUCUUGAGAGUCCCUUGGACUGCAAGGAGAUCCAACCAGUCCAUCCUAAAGGAGAUCAAUCCUGGGUAUUCAUUGGAGGGACUGAUGCUGAAGCUGAAACUCCAAUACUUUGGCCACCUGAUGCGGAGAGCUGACUCAUUUGAAACGACCCUGAAGCUGGGAAAGAUCUUGAGGGCAGGCGGAGACGGGGACGACAGAGGAUAAGAUGGUUGGAUGGCAUCACUGACACAGUGGACAUAGGUUUGGGUGGACUCCGGGAGUUGGUGAUGGACAGGGAGGCCUGGCAUGCUGCAGUUCAUGGGGUUGCAAAGAGUCAGACACAACUUAGCGACUGAAAAAUAACAACAAGAU